GGCUGCUUUUAUAAAUGUUUUGAAAGCAUUUUUUAAGUAUUUGUUUACUUAGUAGCUU
rnacentral:tRNA from 1 species